AAGUCGUAACAAGGUUUCCGUAGGUGAACCUGCGGAAGGAUCAUUAACACGUAUCCAACGUUAAACAACCCUGUGAACUUUCAACGCUCUUGUAACCAGGCGGAACAGCAAUCCCGGUAAAUCAGUGGGCGGAAAAGUUUUGAUUCGGGACCUCUGUCCAAAAGUUACAAUCGAGCUAGGAGCAGUGGCAUGGUUUCCCUAAGCAGUGCAGAAGGAUCCACUGAGUAAGGAUAACGCAUCACGGUUGCCAGAGGUCGAUCACCGGCCGGCAGACAUGUCACAGGGUCACCGCGCCCCUAAUCACUCCCUCUGAACCGUACGCCGGCGCCGUUGAAAAGCUGCGCUAAAAAAAACCGAACAACUGUUAACAAUGGAUAUCUUGGUUCUC
rnacentral:misc_RNA from 1 species